rnacentral:lncRNA from 1 species
AACAAAAAACUGAUGUUUCUAUUUCUUGGUCUUUGGAGGGGCUGAUCAGAGAACUCAAUUGCUUAUGUUUCCUCUAUAGCUUACAUUAAAAAAAUAAAUAAAUCAUGUCCCAACAUUCCUCAAUAGAUGUUUUAUGUUUUUGGGUUCUGAAUGCCCCUUGAAUUUUAACAUCUAAGCAGUAAUUUUAGGUUUUCUUCCAUCUUCGACGCUUUUCGCUUUCAUAACCAACUUGUAAAUGUUAAUAAGUCUGCCGUUUGCUUGGUACCUCCAUUUCUGUUUCAAUAGUAUUUCAUUUAACUACGAAAGAAAAAUAAGUAAGAAAACAGAUUUAGUGUUGCUCUUGCAGGCAGUUGUUUCGUGAAAUAUGCAACACUAGAUGAAGCAGACAGGGCUAUCGCCGCCUUGAAUAAUCAGCAUUAUUUUCCUGGGGUGAGUUAAUUUGUUGCUCGAUUGAUAAAUAGAUAUGUACUUAUGUCAUUCAUCAUGUUACUGUUUUGCCAGGAAGUUCUACCAAUCACAGUUAAAUAUGCCGACUGGGAAUUGGAACGCCUUGGUAAUUUUCUAAUGCUUAAGGAAUUUCUUGUGGGACCUUUUUUGGAUUGUAAACCAGAAACUUAGUAUCGUACAUAUUUUAGGAAUUUUUAGGAUCUGCAUCCUUAUUCCUCAAAUGUUUUAGUUUAAGUUCAAUAAAUGUUUCCUAUUGGAUUAGGUCCAUUUACUAAUUUGUAUGCCCAAUUUUAUGAGAUAAUUUUAUAUUUUAUAGAAAAUGUUGUGAGUCCCCUUAUAAUUAUCAAAGCAUUAGAUAUCAUAAAUGUACCAUUUUCCUCAAAAUUUAAAAUACAAUGACUUUCAUUUUGCAUAAAAUUCGUGUUUCUGAAAAUUUGGUCAAUGUGUAUCAAACAAGUUUAGAAUGGAUAUAGAACUACACUGAAAAAAAAUGAAUUGAUAUGUAUCAAAUGAGAUCCAUAAUGAAUAUACAACUAUGUAGAAAAAAAUUUUUGAAUUAAUAUUCUUGUGAGACAGAUGCAGUAUUAACACGCAUCAGAGUCCACUUUUUCACAUCAUGAUGUAAUACAAUUCAAUGUUCUUUUUAUUUUUAAUAAUGUAUCUGUUUUAGCUGUAUAUUCGUUCAAUUUUAUUCAUCACGAUUCCUGAAUUUGUAAAAAAUAAAGCUGUUGUUCUUCAGCUUGAAAGGUUGGAUUCUUGUUAAGGUAAGAUCCAACACCCAUUUUUUAUUAUUAUAAGAAAAUAAGGGAUGAAUAUUAAUUGAUUGGGUCUUCAGUUAUAAAAGGAAUAUAUUAGUUACCACUGUGCUAAUGAGGAAGGUAUGAAUUUCAUAUUUGAAGGUUGGUGACCGCAAAGAUGAAAUAUUCUUUUACUUUCUAUCUUGCUUUUACUUUCUAUUUUGUAUGCUUAUGACUUUUGUUAUAUUGUUUGUAUUGUCUUUAUCCUUGUUUUUGUUUUGCUAGUAAAAUAAUAGAAUAUCUUCUCUCAUGCCUUUCUGUUUUAAAUAACGAGAAUGUAAUGUGCAAUAAAGUGUAUUGUGUGUUUUCAACUGACAUAUAUAGGGUGUGUUUUGGAGUGUUUUUGUCUGUGAAAAAAGCACUUUGAGGUGAAUAUGCAGGAUGUACGUAGGGUUUUAAUGGAACUUUUUUGUGCUUCUAAUAAAAGUCACUUAGUAAAAGGCUUCUUGUAAAAGCCUUUCUAGUCAGGCCAUCUGAUGAAUUUUGUUUUUCUUGUACUUUUGGUAGCGGGACUUGACAAGUUGUAUGUGUGUGGCCUGAACAAGGAAGCUUCAAGGAAAGAAAUUGAGGAAGUACGGUGAAUGUUUUCUUACUAUCACAACCUCAACUAAAUAAUUUACUCAUGUAUUCAACAGUACAUCGCUACAGAUGUAUCAUGCAUUUGUGCACAUCCAUUUGUUUAUGCAUGCACAUCUUUUCUUAUGGAUAUGCACUUAUGCAUGCUACUUGCAUGGAAAAAAACAAUAUUCUUCUCAACCCAUUUUUGGUUAUAUACUCCCUCAACUCUUUUCAAGAUGUUCAGAUUUAUAUGGUGCUUUCUAUGUCAGAUAUUUUCGCCAUAUGGUUUUGUUGAAGAUAUCUACAUUUUGCGUGAUGAGAUGAGGCAGAAUCGUGGUAUUUUUAUUUUUCUCAUUGUUGAUCUCUCUAUCCUUUAUAACUUUGAGUUGCAUGUUAUAGACUGGGUAGGUUGAAGAUAUCUACAUUGUGGGGGCUGAUUAUGCUUGCCUCAAUAUGGUAUUUUCAACCUAAUGAUGUCCUGUGUUCUAUUUGACGUCACAAGAACUGGAGAUAUUCUGAUUUGCAUGCUUGCUAGUUACUUAAGAGGGUAGAAGUAGGUGGUGGAUAUCGUAGCCAGUAGUUUUAAUUUUUAUAUCUGUCAGCACUUCAGUUGGGGUCUAUCGUAAUUUAAUGGUGAAAUAGUAUCUUUCUUUAUUUUAGUCAUAUAAUUUUCUGUAAAAUCUAAUGAAAGAUUUGUAUGGAAUCGCAUAUUGCUAAAAACCCGUUACUGUUUCUUUGUGCUGGCUAAUGCUUUUUUUUAUAUAUCUUUUUAUGGUUUUUUUAAAGGGACUGGAUUUGUGAAGUUUUCCCAUAAAGAUAUGGCUCUGGAAGCAAUCAAAGCAUUAAAUGGAACCUUCAUUAUGAGAGUAAUGCUUUUGUAUUGCUUAGUAACAUGCACUGAUUGUGUCAUUACACUUUGAAGGCAUCUAGUUUGAUUCUUCUUUUCUAUGUUACUUCAGGGUUGUGCUCAGCCGUUAAUUGUUCGCUUUGCAGAUCCUAAGAAACCGAGGGGAAUAGAAUCAAGGUUAUGCUUUGUAACAUUCUUAGAUACGUGUGUGUAUGCCGAGAGCUUUUAAAGAGAGAUCUCUCUUUCUGAGAGGAAAAAGGGAUGCAUGUGAGGCCCAUCUCCCAGUGCAGUAUAAAGAUCUUGACCAUCCCUUUUAUAGAUUCCCAUGACCCUUAUAAAAGGCUUGGCCAAAUCAUAAACCAUUUUGUCAUCUAACUUUGAUUAAAUUAUAGACUAACAUAGUUUUUUCGACAAAUUUUGAAAUGUUCAUGAUAAUAAACAAAUAGCUAAGCAAUUUGCUCUUUUGUUUUUUAUUUUUAUUUUUAUAAAGAUGAUCCUUGAAUGGAAGCCUUAAAAAUGGAUGGUUCGGAUCAUUGGACAUUGCAUGGUGAACCCCAACACGGGGUUCACUUUCAUGAAAAUAUGGGAUCCCUCUUUGGAUGGGACCACACGUUUUGGAAAAAAUGAAACUGCUCAGUGGUCCAGAUUUAUGGUCUGGAAACGUUUACCAGUCACCCAAAAGCAACUUUUUAUAUCUGGUUUUAAAGUAAACAGAAACGUUGGCUGAAAGACAGAUGUAUACAAGAUGUAUACGGUAUUAACUGAUAAUGUUCUUGUUUGAUUUUGGGGCAGUUAAAUCGUUGUGAAAUUUUCUAAAUUUGAAUUCUCUUUCUCUAGGGGCAAUUAUUUAUUUAGCAACACAAACAUUGUUCCCCACUCUCAAGAACCAGUUGUUAGGUACAAUUCUGUCUUUAUACAUCUUACAUUUCAUUUGUCAUUCUGUUUGUUAGUCUUGACUGCUUGUCUUCUGCUUUGCUCUUUUCAGGCCAGUAUCUGAUCAUGGUGAUUCCACUGGAGGGUAUAAUAUACAUAAUGCAUCGUAUCCUGUUCAACAAGCUUCACACCCGCCUAUUUCCCAAUUGGCAAACCAUGAACCCCAGGCUUCUAGUGUCAUACAACCACCAUUUCCUCCAUCAAAGUCACCUUCACAGUUGUGUAGGAUGCCUUUACAACACACACAAAUUACGCAUUCUCGGACUUCUCAAGUAGAAGUUAAUGAGACCCAGAAGCAGCAUCUGACGCAACCAUCAGGGCAAAUUAUUGGGCAGCAGCAGAGUUCUCAGGUUAGUGGGUAACAAUGAUAAAUGAUUUAUCAGGCUGCCAAAGUGAUGAGUGAUCAAGUAAUGAUGUAUAUUGUUAAUUAUUCAAAUUAAAUUUUAAGUGGGGAUUCCUUGCUCAAAGAUGUUCGUUUGUACGUGUAUCAUAUAUAUAACACACGAGGCUUUGAAGAGGUUAACCUUUGAAGGGAUACGAUCAUGAGCAUGUUGUCACAAAUAUGUCGUGUAGCUACUGCUUGUGACACCCUGUGUUUGUUGAAUUGUUUGUGUAUGGGCUCUUUAGAACCAUAGGAAUCAUGUCUAUCCUGUUAAAUGAUUAUUAUGCAUGUGGGAGGGAGUAACAUUGGCUAUAGUAACCCUUUAAGUAUUAAAAAUAGGAGGCUUUUAGUCGUUUCUGGAACUUUUUCAUUGGUGGAUACAAAAUUGCUAUAAAUGUAUGUUAAAUUGUUCUGUGGUAGUUAUGUGGUGCACGAGUGGCAGCGCACACAAUUUUACUAACAAUGAUUUUGGUACUUGGUGACUCGUGCAAACUCUUUUCUGCCAUGCUGUGAUAUUGGAAACUGUGCAAAUACGGUGGUGUCUUGUUGUCUUCUAUCGUCUCCAAAAACUGGACGCAAUCCUCAGACAGUUGCUAGCAAUUCUCUCUCAGCGGCAGUUCCUUCAAAUCACGAGAUAGCAGCUUUCAUAGAGUGUGACUGGAGUGAACAUAACUGCCCUGAUGGAUACAAGUAUUAUUAUAAUUGUGAAACUUGUGAAAGCAGAGUAUGUUUCAGUCUUUGAAAAUCUUCUUCAUAUGACAUUUAGGUUUCUUAGUUCCAGAAGAUAUUGAAAUGUCCUAUUCAAAAUAAUUGGGAACAUAUGAUUAAUGGCUGUGUUAUCUGGUCUACAGUGGGACAAGCCUGAGGAGUUUGCCUUAUUUGAGCAAGCAUUGCAGAUGCAGACGCAGCAGCAAAAUCCUUCUCACCAUCUUAAAUCUAUGUCGUCGGUUCUUUCUACCCAACAUAGUGCUCAAACACAGCAGGUACAGAUUCAGACACAGGCCUUCCAUCAGACACUACAACUUCAGAAACCUUGCUCAUCUGCGCCGGUUUGUUAUUUUCACUUAAUUUUUCAUUUUUAAGAUGGUUUUUCUGUUGUAAUGUGAAUAAGGCGUCGUCUUUUUGCUAGCGAUUGGCACUGGGUACCCAUUAGGUGUUAGGGAUGUUGUAAUUGGGGUGUUUGGGGAGCUGCUGCGGGGGGUGGGGUUUGUUGGGGUGUUGUGUGGUGGUGAUGGUGAUGGUGAUGGUGGGUGGUGCCCAUGGGUCCCUACUUGUUUGUGGAAUAGUUAGGUUUACUUUCUAUGUUAUGUGGCUGUUUUCACAUUAGGCAAGCAACAUCCCUAUAAAAAUUAGUAGCUAGUGUAAGAAUUACCCAAAUAGAAAUUGUUUUAGCACACUAUACGAGCUUCAAGUGUAAAGAUUCAAUUUGAGUAUGUCUCUUUAGCACUACUGGAAGCCGUGAUAGUGUAAAUAAUGUCCAUGUGGACGAGGAUGGAUAUGGUAUUGUCAAUAACAUGCUGUGGUUUUGUAGGAACUGGAUCAUGUGCAAAUCCAGCCAGAAACAAAUCCUGUUGUUGGCCCAACCUGUGUUUGACAGGUAUUGAUUAUGUAAUUUACAAUUCACUGAGGCAAUUGCCACAAUGCAUUGGUUAGAAGUGACUUUGAGCACCUCACGAAAGUUCUAGCCAUUCUUUUUGCUUUCUAUGCAGAAUGGCCAAUUUUUCCAUUCUUAAAGAAAAAAAUGGCAUGCAACCCCGUCCCAGUCCUUGGAGGAUUGAAUCAUCGGUAAACUGUUGGUACAUUUGCAAGAUUGUGACAUUACUGGUUCACUCCCUAUGUCCUUUUUUCCCUCAAUUUUAUUUUAUUGUUGAAGUCACUGCGAUUAACGCAAAUUGAAGAGUUGCUAGUGCUGAGGGUGACUAUUGUACACAAUGAAUGCAAUCCAGCGCAGGGGGACCAUAUUGUGUGAAUGUAACAUUUUCCCCACUCUCGGGUCAAGAUGCAAACUUCUGCGAACUGUACUUUAUUGGUCAUUUCAAUUUAUCUUCUCAUCUUAAGCUGCUGCUGUAGGAAAGAGCAUCCAGAAGCAUUUAAUUGCUGAACAAUAGUGGUGGAAGCUUAGAACAGGGUGUAAUAUGUAUUAGACACAGGUGUAGAAAUGUUGCCAUCUACGCUUAAAUUAUGGAGUCUUUAAUCUCAUGCAAUCGGCUUGUUACUUGCCCGGAGAUUUGUAUCAUAAACCAGUUAUUUACAUAACAUGAAGCAUAUUAUGUACUUUUUUGUCAUACUGCCGCUGGCUGAAACAACUUAACAGUAGUUGACAAAAAAGCUUUCAUGCCCAUAUUUUGUGAAGUCUUGUUCUCUGCAGGCCUCUUGAUAUAUCCUGAUUUUUCAACUGGAGUUUAAAAGUAUGAUUAUCCAAACCCAUACGUUGGUUGGUUCCUCUAUAUACUCAAUAUUUUGUGAAAAUUUUGAUAUAUACUUAUAUUCAUGUGUGGCAUACCGUGAUUAGUCAAGGAUAGCAGUGUUUCUCCUGCAUGCGGUGAGAGUGCACGGGACAAUGAGUUAGGAUUAAGAUAGGUCAAUGUUGGAUUAACAAACCAAUAAAAAUACUUUUGGUUCCCAUGGCCAUGGCAAUUGACUAAGCAGCGCAAAAGUUGUGGACAAAAUGGCCACGGAACAUGUAAGAGUGCAUAUGACUCAAUACAUGGGUAGAUAUUAUUCCAUUAUUAAGACAAAAGAAUCACACAGGCGGAUUAUCCUUAAUGUGAAGGCGGUGCUUAGUUUAUAUGGCAGAAUCCAUAUCCCAUUCCAUCUAUUUAUUCAAAUUCAAUGCAUCAAAAAUGGAGGGUGAGAUUUGAUGUGGCAUAAAAACGAGAAAGCAAGGCAUUUAUUGUCCAAGAGGCUCAAAGUGGGGCGGUAGAGAUUUUGAUCUUUGAGUUGCCUUUUCUUGUAGCAUACGCAUGCAUAGUUUUGGGACAGCGCAUUAGAUGUUGUCACCAAAUCUUCCCAGUUGCAGCCCCUUUUUCUAGAAUCAAUGGUUUUUAUGUGAAUUCCAAGGGGAGAAGGAAAAAGGGAAAAAUAUUAAAAAUUUAAAUAAUAAAUAAACAAAUAAGCAAAGAGGGCUUCUUCAUUAAUUGUGGGUCUGGACUGGACGGACUACGCAGAAAACCCUAACCCUCAAAAUCAUGACUGCGCAGCAGCACUAGUACUGCUACUCUCCAAAUGAAAUCAAUGCACAUUCCUUCCACAGCAAAAACAAAGAUAUAGGACAAACAAGGGGUCAGAAUAAUUAAGCAAACCCAUUUUCCAUAUACCACAAUAUCUUUACAUACCCAACCCCACAUUUCCCCCCUAUUUCAGAGGCUCUUCCACACACCCCACACCCCACACCCCUCAAGAGGAAAAGAAAACCCAAAAGAAAAAAAAGAAAAGAAUAUCUGAUGAGGUAAAAAAACUAACUACUACCAAGUACCUGCAUUGGAUUAAAAUAUCCAUGUUCCAUGGUUACAGUGAUAAUCACCAUCAGGAUUAGCAAGAGCACCUGAUCUCAAAGCAAGUCAGUAACCUAAAUUAGUACAUAAUUAAGUAGCAUUGCAUUAACUAAUGGGAUCUCAUCUCAUGAUCAGGUACGGCCAUGGUUAUCUAUAAACAUACAUAUAUUUAUAUAAAUAUAUCUACUCUUGCUUCAGCAUAUGGGAGGGGACUAUGUCUUGAAGAAGCCCAUGGUCUGUCAACAUAGCAGAACCAGUUGCUGGGGUGCAAAACCGCCUUUCGCUAUGAAAGCCGGUGCCGCUAGCAUUUGCUGUUGGUGAGCCACCAUUAACAUAGUUGCAGAAAUUGAAAGGUUGCAGUUGCUGUUGAUAGUGAUGAGAUAAUAGGGUUCUGGGCAUUGAAGGCAUGGCAAAGGUGGUAGAGAUAUUGGGUUGAGCAGAAGCCGAAGCCGUGAGAGUUGGGCGAGGUAUGAGUGGGCUUGGGUGUGUGUGUUGGCCUUCAUAAGUUGUCACAACGAUGCUUGGGUCAUUGAAAGAUCGCUCCACUCGCUUCUUCACAUUACAUGCUGUACUUGUGCAUCGAUAGUAACUCCUACAAUCAACCAAAAUCAUGAAAUACAUACAUAAGAUCAAAGAUAAAAAAAGAUAAUAAUAAGUAAGAUUAUGAUUUCUGAUUCAAAACCCAUAACUAAUUUAAUUCUGGGUUUUGAUUAAUUUGAACUGAGGAUGAUUAUUAUUAACAAGCAGUUAGCAAUGCCAUGAUAAUAAAUAAGUGUUAAUUUGGCACUGAAGUUUAGAGUGAGUACCUGGGGAAGGGGCUGUUUUUCACAGCUUUUUGACCGUACUUUCUCCAUCUGUAGCCAUCUUCCAGAUGAUCAACCUCACUCUUGGUCAUGAAUGCAAAUCUGGGUUCUCUCUGUCUCUUCUGACUUGCCUUCUUCGCUUUCAACCUUUGCUCAUCCACACAAUGAACACAAAGAAAAAACCACCUUUCAUCAGUACAUCAUCAGGCUUUUUAUUAUAUAAUGAAAGUUGAGUUCACUUUAACCCAAAGUCCCAAUUUUCAAUUUCAGGUCGCUGUACUAUAAAUCCCAAAAUGAUAAAAAUCCCAUCUUUAUCUUGAUCUGUUAGGAAAUGGGUCUCUCUAAAAAACAAAACUUAAAGCAAAGCAGGAAUGAAAAACUCACUCUUUCUUGGUCUUUGGUUGGUCAUGUUCUUCUUCUUCAUCUUGGUCUGCAGCACCUUUAUUAUCAGUCUGUUCCUCGUUCAGAGCCUCACUGGAUGCAGAUGAAAUCGAUGAAGAGUUUGGUGUUGCAGGCUGCUGAUUCAAAGAGUAGUCGGAGCACUCCUUUGCCAUUAUGGAAGUUUUUGGAAAGUUUGGAGCUAAUGAAGGCAACAUAGAUGGUGUCUGAGGCAAAUAAUCAAACAAGGAGUUAGUACAAAAGUCCUGGCCAGCACCCAAAAGCUCCAUAAACCCUAAAGAUGAGCUCUUUUCUCCUUCACAGAAAUCAAAUAUGCCUGAAAAUGGUGAUGAGGAAAACCCACAUCCAAUAUUGGUACUAUUGUCCUCCAUCUUUACCACAUCCUUCUUCACAUCCAUUGCUUACUCUCAAUACAGAAAGAGCUACUCUUCAUCAAGGGCUAGAAAGAGAAAGUGGGUUUUGUUUGUCUUAGUGAGAGAGAGAGAGAGAGAGAGUAGGGUAGGGUUGAUCUGGUUUAUAAGAUUUGGGAGAGAGAAGAAAAGGAGAGCGUUUUGGGGUUGGAGAAAAAAGUAAAGAGUUUUUUUGGGGGUUAGGGAUUGAGAGUGAGAGGGUAGGCUGGGGUUGGCUUUGGCUUGGCCUCAAAUAUUGACCGGCAAUUGUAGGUCAAGGGUUGUGUACGGAGUAGGCAGAGUAGCAGUGGCAAAAAUUGAAUGCAUGGUUCCGACAAAAUGGUCGACGCUUUCAUACAGUGACCUUUGACCGGUUAACCGGUUUUUUUUUUAUAUUUUUAAAAAAUUCGUAAUGUGAACGGGGUUUCAUUACACGUGACCUUCUUACGGCUACACAAUACAACUUUGAACCUCACUCGUGUGUAAUCUUGUGCAUGCAUGUGAACUCAACCAAGCGAUAACUUUGCUUUUCAUAUUUAAUUUCUGCAUUUUUCCUCUUUUUUGAGUACAAGCGAUAGUCUAAACUGUAAGAGAAUGAGUUUCUCAUACACACAACACGGACAACUAAGAUAUCACGGAAUUCGAAUCUGAGACGUCUGAUCUACAAAUCAAAGACCCUUUUUCACUGAAACUAAACCCCAGUAACUUCAUAUUUACAUUUUAAUUUGUUGUUUGUAACUCAAUGACUCAAAGUCAAAGAAGACCAUAUUAUUUAUAAAAAUGAAGGAGAAAUAAUGAAUGGGAAUGUAGUGGCGUUUUAUAAUUGGUGCUGCAGGUGAAGUACAAGUAUAUAUAUAAGUGAUGAGGGAGGAUAUAUAUGUUAAAUCCUCUUAUAGAAUUAAUUAAUAAAUUAACUAGAAUUAAAUCGAUCGACUUGAUUGAAUACAAAUGACUUUAUUUGGAGAUAAGAGAUAGUUUCACACUUGAUGACAGCAAAAAGGGUUUUUAUAGAAGGCUAGACGACCUCUUUGACUGAUUCACAAAUGUUAAAAUUGGGAAAUAUUUAUAUUUAAGACCCACCAGAAUAAUUAAGGAAGUUGCCAUAUCCUCGAAACAAUUCUUAGAUAUUCCCUAUCGCAUAAAAAAUCAGUGAACAGGACAAACUUUAGGUGCAGAUCAUGAGCAGAAUUCUUUAAUCAUGUGUUUAAAAUUUAAUUAUGAUAAGAGUAUCAACUUUAAUUUUAUUUUUAAGGUGUGAAAUCAUAUGUUAUCUUUCUCCAUAGUCGGUGGUUAAUGCCUUUUUGCUGCUUUUUAUCUUGCACCGAAUGCACAUAAAAUCCCUACAGAAAAAUAAAAUAAAUAUUUUUUAAAAAAAAGGCCAAAGACACGAUCGACUUCUUUUCUCUUUUGGUGAAACUGUAGGCCAAAGUUGCACCCCCACGUGUGGCUUACCACGCACACACACAAAGAUAAAACAUGCUGACAUAAUUUCCGUGUAACUUUGCAUGCCUAUAAUUAUUGUGUUUCCAACUUUUCUUGGUAAAACAAUUAAAUCACUCGUUCAUUUUUGAGGCGUUUUUAAUUGUUUUUUGUUUUUUGGUUUUUGAUGUUGGCUGUUGAUGGAUCCCAAUACUAUCAUUUCAUACUGAUAUACACUCAACCAUGCUGAGGUCAGUCAGUGCAUGGUUAUUGCAAGAUAACAUCAUUGCAAUUUUGCGAUGCCACACAAGCCAUCCAUAUACUUCCAUUUUUAUUCCUCUAUUUUUCCUUUUCCGUACAUAUGUCUAUCUUAUUAGUUACACAAAUUCGAAAUCUCUAAUUAUGUUGUUAUGCAAUAGUUCAAUUCAAUCCUAUAUUCAUAUAUAGUAACAUGAGACACUAAUUAUGUUAGAUGACAUACUUAACCUUAUAUUAAUGGGGAGAAGGUUUAAUUCAUGGAAGAAUUAGAAAUUUUCAGAGUAGUGAGCUAUAAAUUGAUUUUUUCAUUUGUUUUGCGUGGGUGGCUAACUGUCGUUUUCUUGGAAGCUGCUCGAGUAGAGUGGGCCAAUUUUGCCUAAAGUGACAUGGGCUAAUUAAUUUCUAUUGGACUAGGGUCCACCCUAAUCUAAAGGCAAUUCUGUCAUUGGAUUUAACUAUUACCAUGAGUCUAAACCAUUUCAAAAGAUACAUUUCUCUAAAUAUAUCACAAAUAUUUCGGAAAUCUUGGUGCAAGAUCAUAUUAAGAUCUUAAAAAUUGGUCUUGACUGUUGAUCCUUUGUCUAGUUGUUUGUUUAAUUUGAACUUGUGUGAGGAUUAGUACUGAAUACAUAGCAGUGGAAUUAGGUUAAAUAAUCCUUGUUAUUAGUCAUGAUUGCACAAAUGGAAGAACCUACAAAGCUACUUACUUUUGCCCUUUGUUUUGUUUGACUGAAAGUUGAGAACGUGCUUUUUUAGUACUUGGGUUUAGCUUUUUUACACCGAUCCUCAGCUGAGCUGAGGAUGUUUUGUUGACACAUCCUCAGGUCCUACCCAAACAAAGGAGAGUGACGUCUACAUGAGCCAUCCACACCUCACACAUUUCCAGCACCAAUUGAUCCGAAAAGUAUGAAGAGAAAGAGAAAUAUGAGGCAAAAGUAAUUAGCUCCGAUGUUUUCUUUGCCUGAUAAGAUGGCUGUAACUUUCUUGGAGAUAAAAUCUUCACGCGGUUUCGGAAUAUUUUGGGUUUCUUAUGCAACACGCUUUCGAGAUCCUGCGUUCUGAGUAUUUUGUGUCUUCUUUAGCGGAAGAUGUUUUUUUUUUCCUUAAUUUAUUUACUUUUUUUAUUUUAGUUAGAUAAUGGUAGUGGACUGGUAGUAUGCGACUGUUUGACUAGCAUUGCUUUUGCUUUUGCUUUUUGUGUACGUUUAGGAGCUUUCAAAAACAGCCAAAACAACUACGAAUUGAAUAAUAAGUCUCUGUUUUGUUGUGUUGUGAAAAGUCUCCUCCUUCCGUUACAAGCCCAAGUUCUUCCAGACUCAGACCCCAAGAUUUGACCAUGGUCACUAGUCCAUGCCCCCUGCUACUAUUGUCUAUAUCCCAUCUCUCCAACUUUUCUCAUCGGUGAAAUCUUCUUCACUCGAUUACGGAUUAAUAAAAAUAUUUUCAAAUAAUUUUAAAAAUCAUUUUUAAGUAUUUUUGUUCACAAAACACUCGGAUUUUAAAUGAAAAUUUCAACGUACAUCUAUAUGAUAAACUGUUUUCUUUAAUAACAAAGAACAACUGAAAGAAGAAUCACAUACGAAUUAUAUAUCUAAAUAUAUCAAAUUGUGGUCUAAAAAGAACCUUGAGAAGGGAAAAUUACGAAACCAAAAAAAUACUAGAGUGAUGAUAAUUCAUAAGGAGAGAAGAUGUGACAAUAUGGAAGUAAACGCACUACCACUACAAGCAAGCAUUGAGACCCUACCACCCUACCAAAGAUAAUGUCUCAAGUUGGAUAGCAUUUGGUCCAAAAUGAACCACCAAUUAAGCUCAACGCCGGUUGACAGGGAUUGUAAUAAAUAAGUUUGGCAUAGUGUCUCCCAUCUCUAUCACAACCACAGAAAAAAGCUUGUAAUAAGAAUAUUUCUUCUUCUUCUUUCUCUCUCUCUCUCUCUCUCAUAAUUCUCUUUUUCUUCCAUGUCCUUUGUUAUUUCUAUUAUAAAUCAUGACUAGUUAACUGCCUCCAUUAUUGCCGGGUCAUAAGCUAAGAUUUCUUGUUAAGUGUUGCUCAUGGUUUGUAAUUGGUUACAAAAUUUCUUACUCCCACCAAACCGUUGCUUUAUUUAAACAAAAAGAUCAAUCACCCACUUGAAGCGUCACAUUUAUCCUCUUCAUGUGACUAACAAUUCAAUUAAUUAUUACAAAACCUGUAAAUAAUUAUAAAUAAUGCAACCCAACACCCAUAAUUAAAUAUUUAUAAUCUUUCAAAGGUAGCAGAUGUUCUAGAAGUUUGACAUAAUUGAUUGGGGUCAUAUGACUCGUGAAAUGGGUUACUUUUGGUUGGUAGUCUUUUUGUGAGUCAUCAGUCUUAACCUCAUCUGCAUUCGGAGAUGAAAAAGUUGAGGCUGAGAGAUGCACAUGGAACUUGGAAGGGAGGAAGUCAAAGCAUAACCAUUCGGCAAGGGUUGAAUAUAUAUAUUUUGUAACAGCUCAAGGCUCGGGGUCAGAUGGCUAGAAAGAGACAAUUUUAUUUUAUUAUUAGCUCCAAAAUUUUAUGUUUCUUCUUGUACCUUGUUGAGAAAAUAAAUUAAACCAAUGGAGAGUUUUACACUUCUCCUUCACCUAUUUGUCCCCUAUACGAUAUGUGCAUAUAUGUAGCUAUUGCCUGCCUAGUGGAUAGUGGAUAGGAAAUAUACACAAGCAAUUUGAGUGACAGCAAUCCAAACACAGAGCAUAUCUUCAGUUUAUGGCGUUUGUUGAAGCCCUACAUUUGAGAAUAUUUGUCAAGGUAGUACUCAGAUGAAUAAUUUGAGAUGAAGAAAGUCAGCAAUUGAAGCUACAUUAGUAGGUUUAAAGAGACCGUCGUCGCUUAUGGUAAUAGGCAUCGGCUUUUUUCCGAUGUCUUUUCUACCCUGAAAAAGGUAGAAAAUAAAUUCAUGAAAAUUGAGGUAAUAUUAAUAACAAACUUUCAUUUUAAAUUCCAACCACAGUUGAUUUGAUAGUAGCAUGCAAUAUAGGACAUUCAUUGUCCAUGUAAAGCCAGUGGUACAUAUUUUACACGGAGAAGGAAAAAAAGGCAAAAAGGUAAAAUUCCAUUCCAUCAACCCAUACCUUGGUGCUUGGUGAACAAACAAAGCAUCUAUAUCUCUUCUGUGGAAAAUAUUAUAGGCCCAAAAGUUCAAAGCUGAUUCACAUGCAUAAUGCAUAAUGCAUAUGCAUGCAGCCAGCCAGCGAGCCGUGUGAAAUGUUUCGUGUCUUUGUUCUUGGUUGCUGCUGCCGACACAUCUUUUUUUGUACAUCCUGAAUUGGAAAAUCCAGAAACCAAAUACUCAACCUAAUUGUCGGCCCAUUUAUCAACUUUGUUCAAAUUUGUUUCACACAAUAAUUAAUUAAACACGUGUUCCAUUUCAUAUUGCAAAAGCAAUAAUAGAGGUUUUCUUCUUCGAUUAGUUCUUUAAUUUUCAAGAGAGUACUCAAAACGCAGUAGCAUAUGGGAGCCAUGUGCAAAUCAUACUGUAAGUGGGAUAUAUAAUUUUUUUCUUUUUUUUUGUUAAAAAAAAAAAAGAAAAAGAAAAAGAAAAAGAAGGAAGUUCGUCUUUGUUUUGAACGUGCAGUAGUGAGAAUGAAAAUGAGAAGAAGAAAUAGAGAAUUGCAUAUGCAUAUAAGGAGAGUUUUGAACUUGUAACACAUUUCGGCGUGUGAAAGGCCGAUUAAACCAAUCAGUAUUAUAGAAUAAACCCUAGAUUUACAUGUUUAAAAUCACCCAUUGAUGAUUAAACCAAUACUAAUAAGCUUAUAGUUAUUGCAAAUAAAUGUGUUAUUCCACGUGGGCCUAGCUGACCCAACUCCUUCGGCUCAGCUUUAGUUUUAUCAACGGUCUUAUGUGUAACGAGAUCAGCCCAAGAUGUUAUCCUAGUGUAGAGGCCCGGAUGAAAAGCCUUUUAACUAGUCCUAUCAUAACUGGCCGUUAGGGUUCGGUAAAUGUUAGCAAGGAUAGCUGUUCGUCGGUCCAAAUCCGUUUUUAGCCAUCCCCAUUCGAUCUAAUAUAGAUUUGAUUUUGAAAAGAAUCGAGUAACCUAGGGUUUAGAUGUUAGCAAGGAAAUUAACGGUUGCGUGCCAACCGUUAAUUUCCCAGAAAAUACAUGCUAUUGACAAAUAAACUAAAGAGUAAAUAUUCACUAAACCACUUAUCAUCAACUUGCUUUUUCCACACAAUAAAAUGACCAAGCUCUUUACAAACUGUAGACAGCCUGAGAGCAUGCAUGUACUCUGGACUUCCCAAACCCAAACAGGUUUCUAUGACUAAAUCACAAGAGGAAAAACAGGAAGAAUAAUAAAAAGAAAAAAGAAAAAAAGUACUUUUAAAGAAUUGAAAAAAAAAUAAAGAAUACUAUUCUUUACAGAAAUGAAUGAGUCACUCAUCAUGAUGAGAACCAGGUGCCAAUGCCUGAACCAUAAUUUGCAAGAGCGUUACUCUACUUUGCAAGGACAAGAUGUAAUCAACUGUCUCUCUGAAGAGUCCAUCCAACCCCGUCGACGAAUCGGUUUUUGGGAUCAGUCUCUUCAAGGUUUUCACCCUUCUUUGGAUCCCAUUGCUGCGCAUUCUUGCACUUUGUUGGAGGCGCUUCAGUGUCCCCCUCUUCUUUAAUAUCCUUCUUCUUUUGGUUGUUCUCUUGUUCUUCACAACUCCUCCACUUUCCCUUGUGAUGAUCAUAUUAACUUUGUUCCACUUUGUAUAGGACUUUCCCUCAUUUUUUAGGACCAUGCCCUUCAAAUCAAGGGAAACAAGGAGAGGAUUCUGAGAACCCAUGAUUCAGGAGCUAAACACAGUAGCUUGCUGUCCUUGAGAAAUCCUUAUGAUUCAAGCCAAAACACUAUGGCUGCUAUAGCAGAAAUGGCAUAAUUAAGGGUUUUUAUAGGGUGUUAGCUGGUAACUGAGUUGGCGGCCAUUAAGGAUAAUACAGAUUAGUUAAUUAUGUGUAUUAAUUAAUUAAUUAAGGCAAAAGUAGGGGCCACAAGACAAUUUCAUAGAAGGCCUCCUCCAAGGGAAUGGGGAUAAAUGAAUGGGAUGAUGCCAAGUGUACAUAUAUUAUUAUUGGUGUUGUUAAUGCUUGUUGCUUUGGGCAUGUUCUCCAACUUAUGCACAUGCAACCACAUGAUUCUUAAGAAGCCCUUCUUAAACCACCACCACCUUUCAUCACGCCUAUCCCACGAAAAACACCCUGGAUUAUUCUUCCUUCCCACUUUCCAAAUUCAAUGCUUUACUUAGAUAAUGCAAAUUGGGGGUCCUUAAUCUCCUCAUCAUUCCAGCUCAGUCAACAUGGCCUAAAACUUUUCUAGGGUUUUUCAUGGUGGUUAGGCCUUGUUUCCAGGCAGGAAACCUAGAAUAAAUAAAACUAAAAGGAACUGGAGUGCCUGCACAUAACAUGUUAGAAUUGGUGGACAAAUUAGAUCUUAAUGUUGGGAUAAGGUAGAUUUGGUUCUGACAUUCAUGAACCCCAUUUUGCAUCAAACUCAUGAUUGAUGUCUCGAACUUGUUAGAAAAAACAAUUCCUAAGCCAUGUUUGUAACAUGUCUCUGUAUCAUGGUAACCCCCUCCAAACUUAAAACUCGGACAAUCUCACAGAAAAAGAUGCAUGCAUCUUCUGUCUGUCACUUGCACUUUCGGUGGAGAGAGAUAUAUAUAUAUAUAUAUAUAUAUAUAUAUAUAUAUACCAAUGCAUGCAUGCAGUAUUAGUUCACUUGGAUUGGAGAUUACCAUAAAUAAAUAAAACCAAAACCUUCUGAGUAUUUCGAGAAUUUGAAUCAUUGGUUCCAUUAAUUUUUUCCCCUCCAAACCAAUUAUCCCCACCAUUGAUCUACAAGCAAAGCUUAAGCAGGAGCCAGAGAACAUGAUGCACAUGCAAAUGCGGUUGCAGAUCCAGCAUACUGAUAUAGUUACCUGGCCAGCACUAUCCAAGUCCAUAGAUCGAAUGGUUCUGAAUAUGCAACGUGGCAAAGUUUAGAGCACGAGGUCUUGUGCACCUUCACCAUCUGUGGCGGGGCUAGCAAGCUACUUAAUUAUAAUUAUAAUUAUGGUUAUGCUAAUUAUAUAUAUUGAACAAUUGGAUAGGAAUGUACAGUGUUCUGGAUCUUCUUGUCAUCCCUUGGUUGGUGAUUACAUAUAAAUUGGCAAUUAAACUCGGUUUACAAAACAAACGAAGUUUGUGACGGCCAUGCGCAUGGAUUAUCCUAACCCAAAUUAAUAGACUAUAUAGUAUUAGUCACACAACGCAUUAUUAUUGAUUAUCAUUCUUAAUUUUUCAAGGCCAUAUAAUAUCAAACAAACACAUAGUAGUUAAAUUUCUAAUCGAAAGUCUUUAUUUAUUAAAAUUAAGAGAGUUGUGACAGAGCUGCCCGCUAUAAAUUUUGGUCUUCUUCCUUUUGUAAUUCGUCGAAAAUUGAUUGACUAUAGAACCAAAAACAGAAAAUGAACUGUGGAUAAUAUUUUUUUUUGCAAAACUAGGCACAUUUGUUGACAUGUCUCCGUCUUGCCAAAUUAUAACCUUUUCUUCUUGUUGUUCUUAAUUUUCUGUUGUCCUUCAGAUAAAUUCGUAAUGAUGAGUAGUUGUUGGCUAUGUGGCCCAUGGAGAUAAGUCUCUUAUCAUAAGAGAAUAACCCACGCAACACACUAUUGCCCUUGUAACCAAAGGAGUGAGCAAUCAAUGUUCUCCGUGAGCUUAGGAAGAGCAAUUAUGCUGCUAUGCUUAUUACAGGCCUGAUUUCUUCAUCGCAAUUUCAUGUUAAGUACUAUAUGUUGGAGUCAACCAGAAUAAUCUCACGGCCACGAUUGCAGCUAGGUCGAGAAAAGUGAGUCCCAUUAGUGCCAUGUUAGCUUUUUUAACGAGAUGCAAAACAUUGAUUAAGAGGGCAAAGUGAGAUGCAAAACAUUGGUCAAGAGGGCAACAAGAAUCGCUUUAACUUCUUAGGCAUGUGAGAUUUGAGCAGGCUUUUCUAGGAUAAUUUAAUAGUACAAGAAGAUUGGACUUGUGGUAAAAAGGCAGACAUAAAAGUUGAAGCAAAUUAAACCUGUUUUCAACAACAUCAACAAUUAAUAACGAAACAAAAGACAAAUAAAAAUAAAAAUAAAAAUAUGAGACCUACCAAGCAUAGCUAUUACAAUAAAAUCUUCACUUUAUUCUAUAUUUUUAGUGAAGGGUACCAAAAACUACGAAUAUUAUUGCUAUAAUCUUCUAAAGGCUCCUUUUUUUCUAAUGCCAAAUCAUACUCCUUCUGAUUAUAAUGAUGUCGGCAAUAAGUUCCAUUAGUUUCAAAGGCCUUCACAAGCUUGAAGAAUAACAACUUCAUCGCCGGAUCCUGAACAUCGGCAUAAGCUUUGUAGUCGAGUAGAAUCUGAUGAGAUCUUACUCGAAAAUACCCCAAAACUAAAGCUUGAAAAUGGAUAGGUGCGCACUCCAACAUAUGCAGCAUGGCUUCCCAAGUUUGCACAAAAACCCUUUUGCUUAAUUUCGAAGAUAUCUCUCUGUCACGAUCAAUACCAUCCACGAGAAUCAAUUCCCGAAUUGAAACAAGUGUGUCCCAUAUGUUUGACUGUUGUAGAUUGGCGUCAAGCAAAACUUUGCCGUUUUUGGGCAAGUUAGGGUUUAGAUCAAGGCCAUAAGAGCGGAAAAAGAGUUGGGGAGGCUCUGUCGGAUAAUUGCUUGGAAAGAAUAUGUCGAAGAAGAACAAGCCUUGGUGAUAAGGAGGACCUUCUCGACAAGUUAUCAUCUCAUCAUCUUCUCGAUCAUCAUCAACUAUCACGACACCUUUUCGACCCAUUAUCUUGAUCUUGUCACGUUUUGGAAGACGUAUGAAGUCACCUCCACCAACUAUCACAGCUCUCAUAAGAUCAAUCCUUGAAGUAUAACCCCUAACCAAAAUUGAACUUGGGGGAAGUUGUCUUAUUGAUUCCCAUUCUCCUUGAAUCCUUUUGGCUAGCGAUGCUUGUAUAUUAUAUGGCUUGUUGAUGAAGUGAUGAUUAAAAGGAGGGUUAGGAAGCUCAUCAAAGUUCUUCAACUCUUUGAGCCUCCUCUCAACCCCAUCUACUUCUUCUUCAACUUCCCCAUGAAUCUCUGAUGUUGCAGUCUCAUCCACUUCCUUCUUGAUCGAUGGUUUGUACGACGACCUAUAAUAAUUACCAACCUCGUCUUCAAAUUCCAUUGAUUUGAUAUCGAUAUAUUGCUUCUUCUCUUUAGUAAGCUUUCUUGACGUACGCCAGCUUUAAAAUCUCUCUUGCACUGAAUUUACAUAUAUAUGGUGAUCAUGUUCUGUUGACAAGUCCAUAUUUAAUUAGGAUUCUAGUUCCUUACUUAGUUAGGAUUUUAGUUACUUAUCCAUUCAUUUAGUCAUAUUGUAAUUGAAAUUGAUUUCAUAUUGUAAUUGAAAUUGAUUUCCUAUUUUAUAAUUAACGUUGUACUUCUUUUUAAAUACACCCACAUUGGAAAAGAAUAAAGACAUGAGCAUAAUUGAAUAUUUGUCCUACUUAAUUUAACAUAUUCAUCCUUGAACGACUCUUUGCUAGGUUACCUCUUUCUCCAAAUCGUAUAUCUCCAAGUUAGAAUAGGAUACUUCUAAGCAAAGUAAAGUGUUCUCCAAGUUAUUAAAACUGUCCCGGACUCUUAAUUGAGCCCUAGCUAGUUGCGUUGGGAUAUUCUUUCAAAAACAUUACAACUCUUGACAGAAGCAAAUCCUAAUCCAUGUUUUAUCAUCCUUCAAAGAUUGCUAAGAAGCUUCCGAAUGGGGUGAAGGCCCAAACCCUAAUCCAUGGCACAAAGUCCAUAUGAAAGUGGCCCAAGUCUGCCAAAUCCUCUAACAAAGAAGAGGAAAUCUAGCAAAUGCAUGGUAAAAUAGCAUAGCAUGUAUGAUGAUGUAUCAUUAACAUGCAACACCAUACAUUAGUCGGCCACAACAAAAAAAAAAAAAAAAAAAAAAAAAAAAAAAAUCCACCGAAAAAUCAAGUGUCACAAGAUCAAAGGCCAACCAAAUGUGAGGGUCAAAGAAAACGAUAUUCUUGUUCGAAUUUUAAGGCCACCAAUUAGUCGUUCGUUCGUUAGUUAGUUUGUUUGUUAGGACUCAGGAGGAAACGUGGUCUAAAAUAUUUUACGUUAAGGGGAAGCUGUGGCCUGGUAUUGGGCCGACCAAAAGAUUGAUAUGGAUAAUUCUAUUCCAUUCAAGAAUGUUGUAACGCGUCUUCACAAGCAAAUCAAAUGAGUCAUCACUUGCUACUAUUGACUUUUGGGUUGCCCCUUGACUCUAAUUUGUUUCACAUUCUGAUUGGCUUCUUGAUUUGCAUUAACCUCACCUUUUCUGUUUGUUUCCUGGG